CUCCAUCCCUCUAUGUAGCCUGAAGAAGGACACACAGCUUUGAACAUUGGCUUCUGUAUAGAAUCUAAUUCUUGCCUACCCUCCUGCUCAUCAUCUGACUGACGCUUUCCAGAGUGUUAAACGGCAGCCAUGCUGGCCAUUGAAAUCGACACGAGCCACUAUAACCUGAUCAGCAUCCUUUUCAAUUGCUGUGCACCUGUUUGCUGUCGGACGUUGCUUUCUUGAUUAAAAUGACCAAAGGUGGGAGGUCAAGGAAGGAAGUCCAGUUGACUGAUGUUUGCUGUGACAAGGAUAGCAUCCGCAUUGUGAAUCAAAGAUGCCUAUCAAGCUUCGUAUUCUACUUGUUUUUUUAAACGUGAUCUUGCGUCUUGCCAACUCCUUUUUUCCCCCCUACAUUUUCCUUUUUUCCUUAUCUAUAGACUCGUUCGUUGUUGACCCUUUAAAUCUUUCUAGGACUGGUUCUUUAAAACCUGUUAUUGGAACCCCUAGCGCGUUAGGUACGACACACAACUCACCCGGAAUACAUCUCCGUCCUUUCACGGAUUGUAAAGAUGUCUUAAGAUUACUGUCUCCUGUUUAUUCCACAUCCUCUUCUAACUAUCCGUCCUGGUAAGAUAAAUACCUUAAUGCAGCGUACCACACAAAUUAAAACCUUUCGCUACUGGAUCUAUCCUAUCUAUUGUGGAAUCUAAAUUGAUUGAAGAAUAUAAACGUGUUAGUCAGUGGAACA